UGAGGAAAGUAGGGGAUCGAAAGACCUUGCGCUUAAGGAGCGGCCGAUGGCUGAUUAGCUAGUUGGUGGGGUAAAGGCCUACCAAGGCAACGAUCAGUAGUUGGUCUGAGAGGACGACCAACCACACUGGGACUGAGACACGGCCCAGACUCCUACGGGAGGCAGCAGUGGGGAAUUUUGGACAAUGGGCGCAAGCCUGAUCCAGCCAUGCCGCGUGAGUGAAGAAGGCCUUCGGGUUGUAAAGCUCUUUCAGUUGGGAAGAAACGAUUGCAACUAAUAAUUGUAAUUAAUGACGGUACCGACAGAAGAAGCACCGGCUAACUACGUGCCAGCAGCCGCGGUAAUACGUAGGGUGCGAGCGUUAAUCGGAAUUACUGGGCGUAAAGGGUGCGCAGGCGGUUUUGUAAGUCAGAUGUGAAAUGCCCGGGCUUAACCUGGAAUGGCGUUUGAAACUACAAAGCUAG
rnacentral:rRNA from 1 species